GAUGAACGCUGGCGGCGUGCCUAAUACAUGCCAGUCGAGCGAACAGACGAGGAGCUUGCUCCUCUGACGUUAGCGGCGGACGGGUGAGUAACACGUGGAUAACCUACCUAUAAGACUGGGAUAACUUCGGGAAACCGGAGCUAAUACCGGAUAAUAUAUUGAACCGCAUGGUUCAAUAGUGAAAGACGGUUUUGCUGUCACUUAUAGAUGGAUCCGCUCCGCAUUAGCUAGUUGGUAAGGUAACGGCUUACCAAGGCAACGAUGCGUAGCCGACCUGAGAGGGUGAUCGGCCACACUGGAACUGAGACACGGUCCAGACUCCUACGGGAGGCAGCAGUAGGGAAUCUUCCGCAAUGGGCGAAAGCCUGACGGAGCAACGCCGCGUGAGUGAUGAAGGUCUUCGGAUCGUAAAACUCUGUUAUUAGGGAAGAACAAAUGUGUAAGUAACUAUGCACGUCUUGACGGUACCUAAUCAGAAAGCCACGGCUAACUACGUG
rnacentral:rRNA from 1 species